rnacentral:pre_miRNA from 1 species
AUUCAUUGGAUGAGGGUGAGGCGUUCGAUUGAUUUCAUUCAAUCCGAGCCUCACAUUCAUCAAGGGUUCGU